GUAGGUGAACCUGCGGAAGGAUCAUUACUGAGAGUACCGGGCUCUGCCUGGCUACUUUUACCCAUGUUUUUAUAGUACCAAAAGUUUCCUCGGCGGCUCUGCCCGCCGGUCGGACUCCAUUCAAACCCUUUGUAGUUGCAGUCAGCGUCUGAUAAACAUAAUAAUUACAACUUUCAACAACGGAUCUCUUGGUUCUGGCAUCGAUGAAGAACGCAGCAUCUGACUGACUGGAAGCUUGUCUAUCUCGUAU
rnacentral:misc_RNA from 1 species